rnacentral:rRNA from 1 species
UACGGGGGGGGGCAAGCGUUGUUCGGAAUUACUGGGCGUAAAGGGCUCGUAGGCGGCCAACUAAGUCAGACGUGAAAUCCCUCAGCUUAACUGGGGAACUGCGUCUGAUACUGGAUGGCUAGAGUGUGGGAGAGGGAUGCGGAAUUCCAGGUGGAGUGGUGAAAUGCGUAGAGAUCCGGAGGAACACCAGAGGCGAAGGCGGCCUGCUGGGCUGCACCUGACGCUGAGCCGCGAAAGCCGGGGGAGCGAACGGG